ensembl:piRNA 21ur-2835 ncRNA
UGUAAUGUAACUGUAUGCCUA